rnacentral:rRNA from 1 species
UACGUAGGGGGCUAGCGUUGUCCGGAUUUAUUGGGCGUAAAGAGCGUGUAGGCGGCCAGGUAGGUCUGCUGUGAAAACUCGAGGCUCAACCUCGAGAUGUCGGCGGAAACCAUCUGGCUAGAGUCCGGAAGAGGAGAGUGGAAUUCCUGGUGUAGCGGUGAAAUGCGCAGAUAUCAGGAAGAACACCCGUGGCGAAGGCGGGCUCUCGC